UUAACUACCAAAACAAAAAAAAGUGUUACUACCUUACAGUUACAAAAGGUGCUACCUAUACAUAUAAAUAGGGUAUUACAGGACACAAUAUAAUGAAUAAAAUGGCCCUGGCCUAAGGUUUUUUAGUACGACGAGUAGGAGAAGCUGUUCUACUGGUCGGCUUAUUUUCAGCGGGCUUAGCUGGCACGGAAAGCGUAGACUUGGCAUCUUUCGCGGCGGGGAAUUUAGCCAUCAGCGUUUUGAGCUCCUGCAUACAUUCUAUCUUCUGCCGGGACUUGUCUGGCAAAACAAUGGCUAUCUUACCCUCCGCAGACCAGCAGUUACGCCAAAAUGUUGCCGUGCAGUCAUAAAGACUCGAUGUCUUGACUUGGUCAGGAACUCAGAGACAACUAUGCCGGUGCUCUUUAGUGCAGUCUUAGCUUCCCAGACCAAGCGUCGCUGCUCCAAGUCUUUAAAUCUGACUAAGACAGCACGGGCUUUUCCUUUAGGAGAACCUAGGCGGUGGCAUUAUACAAAUUCAUUGCUAGAAUACCAUGAAAAAGCAAAAUCUUGUUGCGAAAGUAAGUUUCGUGUCUAUCAAGGCCAAUGGUUAAAAGAUCUAGCUGUGCCUUCAGCUUAGAAAGAGUUUGCCAUAUAAAAUUUUUGAAGUUGAGAAACUCACUGCUCAGCGUAGUAAGGUCAGGAACUGAAGACAAAGAUGUUGUGUCCUGAAGGCGCUGCUCAUAGGAAUCCAUUCGUGACUGGAACAACUUAGCCAGGUCUUCCAUGUUGCUGGCAAGUUGCGAUGAAAUGUCCAUUCUUAGCGUCGAUGUUUAGUGAAGAAAGUGGUAAAAAAGUGCAGAAGUUGUGCGAUGUUAAUAUUGUGGCGAGCAAAGGAGGGGUUUAGAAAUUAUUUAAUAGAGUACAUAUAUUUUUCUAAGAAC